rnacentral:tRNA from 1 species
GCGGCAAUAGCUCAGUGGUAGAGACCCCGCUUCGAAUGCGGGGAGACCUGGGUUCGAUUCCCUGCUGCUUCC